UACGAAGGGUGCAAGCGUUACUCGGAAUUACUGGGCGUAAAGAGCUCGUAGGUGGUUUGUCGCGUUGUUCGUGAAAACUCACAGCUCAACUGUGGGCUUGCAUUCGAUACGGGCAGGCUAGAUGUUGAUGAGGGAGACUGAAUUCCUGGUGUAGCGGUGAAAUGCGCAGAUAUCAGGAGGAACACCGGUGGCGAAGGCGGGUCUCUGGGCCGAUACUGACGCUGAGGAGCGAAAGCGUGGGGAGCGAACAGG
rnacentral:rRNA from 1 species